rnacentral:rRNA from 1 species
UACGAAGGGGGCUAGCGUUGCUCGGAAUUACUGGGCGUAAAGGGCGCGUAGGCGGCCUGCUAAGUCGGAUGUGAAAUCCCUCGGCUCAACCGAGGAACUGCAUCCGAUACUGGCGGGCUUGAAUCCGGGAGAGGGAUGUGGAAUUCCAGGUGUAGCGGUGAAAUGCGUAGAUAUCUGGAGGAACACCGGUGGCGAAGGCGGCAUCCUGGACCGGUAUUGACGCUGAGGCGCGAAAGCUAGGGGAGCAAACGGG